ACUGGAGUCUCUCUGCUCCUUUGGUAUGUAUGGAGCUCAGGGAGGCCUCUUCUCUUCUCCAGCCUGGAGGCUCAAGGCUUGUUUGGUUUUUACGUGAACUGUUAAUUGGGACAGAGCCAGCACUCGAAGCCUCACUUCUAAAACUCUGUCUCCUGCUGUCAGAUCCCUCAGGAAAAAAGAGCUGUAGGUAGAAACAGACACUGAGCUCUGUAGAACAGUCUACUAGAGUCUGUAUGAAUCAGAAAACAGGCCACACUACCGCACGGUGCACCUGAGUGACUACAUUACCCAGGAUGCUCCUCGGCAACCAGAGAGCCUGUAAUGUUUACGGGGGAAACUUUUUAAUAAACUUUUAAUGACCACUCCAACUGCACGUCCUGUCUCCUACCCAGCUGCUCUGCACACACAGAGGCUCCUGUCAGGCCCAACUAAGCAGAGUGGCUGGCGGAGCAGCGCUUGGAUUGGCUGGACAGGGGUUGCCGAGGGUUACGGCGAAUUUGGUGGACCACCUGCUGAGCUCGGCCGCCAACUGACUGAAAACAUUUACAUCAGAAACCACCCAGGAUCGACAGGGAAAAAAGGAAGGAGGCCGUUUGUCUAAACGUGACGGCUUCUUCUGCUAAGCUAUUUAACGGAGGGUCCCAGCAUCACUGUAAUCCGCUGUGCUGUGUCCUGUGGGGUCACAGUGGGAGGCGCGAUGUUCACGCUGGAGCAGCAGCUGUGAACGUGAAGCGAGGCUGCAGCCCAGCGCUCCUCGAACCCUCCCUCAGGCCGAUGGCUCCGUCGCUCGCUAAAUCGGUAAAUGAUCCUGGCUGUCAUUUAAUCAAUAUGAACAGGCAGCAGCUGUCGCGCAUCAUCUCCUCCCUCGGGGCUCGUUGUCAAGACGCAGCGGAUGAAACGCCGUCGUGUUGGCAUUUUAUCAGGCCUUUAUUGUGACGACCAGGUUAAAUAAAAGAGAGGGAGGAUGAAUUAUGUUAAAUUAU
rnacentral:lncRNA from 1 species